rnacentral:tRNA from 1 species
ACCAGAUUAGGGAUCCCACGAUAGAGUACAAGAUUCCUAAUCUUGAGGUCGUUGGUUCGAGCCCAACAUGGGGUA